AUACGUAGGGUGCGAGCGUUGUCCGGAAUUACUGGGCGUAAAGAGCUCGUAGGUGGUUUGUCGCGUCGUCUGUGAAAUUCCGGGGCUUAACUCCGGGCGUGCAGGCGAUACGGGCAUAACUUGAGUACUGUAGGGGAGACUGGAAUUCCUGGUGUAGCGGUGAAAUGCGCAGAUAUCAGGAGGAACACCGGUGGCGAAGGCGGGUCUCUGGGCAGUAACUGGCUCUGAGGAGCGAAAGCAUGGGUAGCGAACAGGAUUAGAUACCCUGGGAGUCCAUGCCGUAAACGGUGGGCGCUAGGUGUAGGGGUCUUCCACGACUUCUGUGCCGUAGCUAACGCAUUAAGCGCCCCGCCUGGGGAGUACGGCCGCAAGGCUAAAACUCAAAUGAAUUGACGGGG
rnacentral:rRNA from 1 species